ACUCCUACGGGAGGCAGCAGUGGGGAAUAUUGGACAAUGGGCGCAAGCCUGAUCCAGCCAUGCCGCGUGAGUGAUGAAGGCCCUAGGGUUGUAAAGCUCUUUUGUGCGGGAAGAUAAUGACGGUACCGCAAGAAUAAGCCCCGGCUAACUUCGUGCCAGCAGCCGCGGUAAUACGAAGGGGGCUAGCGUUGCUCGGAAUCACUGGGCGUAAAGGGUGCGUAGGCGGGUCUUUAAGUCAGGGGUGAAAUCCUGGAGCUCAACUCCAGAACUGCCUUUGAUACUGAAGAUCUUGAGUUCGGGAGAGGUGAGUGGAACUGCGAGUGUAGAGGUGAAAUUCGUAGAUAUUCGCAAGAACACCAGUGGCGAAGGCGGCUCACUGGCCCGAUACUGACGCUGAGGCACGAAAGCGUGGGGAGCAAACAGGAUUAGAAACCCGGGUAGUCCCAUG
rnacentral:rRNA from 1 species